rnacentral:rRNA from 1 species
AACGAACGCUGGCGGCAUGCCUUACACAUGCAAGUCGAACGGCAGCACGGGAGCAAUCCUGGUGGCGAGUGGCGAACGAGUGAGUAAAGUAUCGGAACGUGCCCAGUCGUGGGGGAUAACAUAGCGAAAGUUACGCUAAUACCGCAUACGAUCUAUGGAUGAAAGCGGGGGAUCGCAAGACCUCGCGCGAUUGGAGCGGCCGAUAUCAGAUUAGGUAGUUGGUGGGUAAAGGCCCACCAAGCCGACGAUCUGUAGCUGGUCUGAGAGGACGACCAGCCACACUGGGAUUGAGACACGGCCCAGACUCCUACGGGAGGCAGCAGUGGGGAAUUUUGGACAAUGGGCGAAAGCCUGAUCCAGCCAUGCCGCGUGCAGGAUGAAGGCCUUCGGGUUGUAAACUGCUUUUGUACGGAACGAAAAGGACUGCCCUAAUACGGUGGUCCCAUGACGGUACCGUAAGAAUAAGCACCGGCUAACUACGUGCCAGCCGCCGCCGUAA